rnacentral:rRNA from 1 species
AUUGAACGCUGGCGGCAGGCCUAACACAUGCAAGUCGAACGGUAGCACAGAGAGCUUGCUCUCGGGUGACGAGUGGCGGACGGGUGAGUAACGUCUGGGAAACUGCCCGAUGGAGGGGGAUAACUACUGGAAACGGUAGCUAAUACCGCAUAACGUCGCAAGACCAAAGUGGGGGACCUUCGGGCCUCACACCAUCGGAUGUGCCCGGAUGGGAUUAGCUAGUAGGUGGGGUAAUGGCUCACCUAGGCGACGAUCCCUAGCUGGUCUGAGAGGAUGACCAGCCACCCUGGAACUGAGACACGGUCCAGACUCCUACGGGAGGCAGCAGUGGGGAAUAUUGCACAAUGGGCGCAAGCCUGAUGCAGCCAUGCCGCGUGUAUGAAGAAGGCCUUCGGGUUGUAAAGUACUUUCAGCGGGGAGGAAGGCGGUGAAGUUAAUACCUUCACCGAUUGACGUUACCCGCAGAAGAAGCACCGGCUAACUCCGUGCCAGCCGCCGCCGUAA